UGUGUGCUUGAAUGUGUGUGAGAGAGUAUGUGUUUUGUUAAUGCCGUAAAUCUGGUUGUACUGCUGUGUGUUAACAGGCAGGAGGCAGCAGCGGUCUGCUCAUGGACCUGGCAGCCAAUGAAAAAGCAGUGCACUCUGAUUUCUUUAAUGACUUUGAGGAUCUGUUCGAUGACGAUGACCUUCAAUGAUGACGGCAUCUGAGCACUUGCGUGUUGCUGUGAACGUGUGCAUAAGAAAAAUCGUGAUAUUGGGCUUUUGCUGACUACAAGUUCUCUCUUAUUUGUACAGCCCUCUCCUCCUUUAUGUCUGUCAUCACUGUACUGAAAUAAAGACUUUUUGUUUUUACUAAAAGAAAA